CAGCCGCCGCGGUAAAACGAAGGUCCCAAGCGUUGUUCGGAAUCACUGGGCGUAAAGGGAGCGUAGGCGGCGUGGUAAGUCAGAUGUGAAAUCCCGGGGCUCAACCCCGGAACUGCAUUUGAUACUGCCAUGCUUGAGGGUUGGAGAGGUAGCUGGAAUUCUUGGUGUAGCAGUGAAAUGCGUGGAUAUCAAGAGGAACACUCGUGGCGAAGGCGAGCUACUGGACAACAUCUGACGCUGAGGCUCGAAGGCUAGGGUAGCGAAAGGGAUUAGAUACCCGUGUAGUCCCUGUCUCUUAUAC
rnacentral:rRNA from 1 species